rnacentral:rRNA from 1 species
UAUUUUGACUGUACUUUGGUAGCAUAAUUAUUUGUYUUUUGAUUGAGGRCUGGUAUGAAUGACUGGAUGAAACAUUCACUUUUUUUGUUUUUUUUUAUGAAUUUGAUUUUUCAGUUAAAAAGCUGAAAUUUUUUUAAGGGACGAGAAGACCCUAUAGAACUUUAUUGUUAUUUUUUGGUUUAAAUUUAUUUGAUGAAUUUGGAUUAARAUUUGUGAAAUUUGAUKGGGGGGAUKGAAAAAAAUUUUWAACUUUUUUUUGUWAAAUUCACAUAUUKGKGAURUUUKGAYCCAAAWUUUUUUGAUUAUAAGAUUAAGUUACCUUAGGGAUAACAGCGUUAUUUUUUUAUAGAGUUCUAUCGAUAAAAGAGUUUGCGACCUCGAUGUUGGAUUAAAA